AGAGUUUGAUCCUGGCUCAGAGCGAACGCUGGCGGCAGGCUUAACACAUGCAAGUCGAGCGCCCCGCAAGGGGAGCGGCAGACGGGUGAGUAACACGUGGGAACGUGCCUUUUGGUUCGGAACAACCCAGGGAAACUUGGGCUAAUACCGGAUAAGCCCUUACGGGGAAAGAUUUAUCGCCAAAAGAUCGGCCCGCGUCUGAUUAGCUAGUUGGUGGGGUAAUGGCCCACCAAGGCUACGAUCAGUAGCUGGUCUGAGAGGAUGAUCAGCCACAUUGGGACUGAGACACGGCCCAAACUCCUACGGGAGGCAGCAGUGGGGAAUAUUGGACAAUGGGGGCAACCCUGAUCCAGCCAUGCCGCGUGAGUGAUGAAGGCCUUAGGGUUGUAAAGCUCUUUUAGCAGGGAAGAUAAUGACGGUACCUGCAGAAAAAGCCCCGGCUAACUUCGUGCCAGCAGCCGCGGUAAUACGAAGGGGGCUAGCGUUGCUCGGAAUCACUGGGCGUAAAGCGCACGUAGGCGGCUUCUUAAGUCAGGGGUGAAAUCCUGGAGCUCAACUCCAGAACUGCCUUUGAUACUGAGAAGCUUGAGUCCGGGAGAGGUGAGUGGAACUGCGAGUGUAGAGGUGAAAUUCGUAGAUAUUCGCAAGAACACCAGUGGCGAAGGCGGCUCACUGGCCCGGGUACUGACGCUGAGGUGCGAAAGCGUGGGGAGCAAACAGGAUUAGAUACCCUAGUAGUCC
rnacentral:rRNA from 1 species